AGCAGCCGCGGUAAUUCCAGCUCCAAUAGCGUAUAUUAAAGUUGUUGCAGUUAAAAAGCUCGUAAUUGAAUUUCGGGGUUAGUAGGUUGGUCAUGCCCCUGGUAUGUACUGGUCUCACUGAUUCCUCCUUCCUGAUGAACCUUAAUGCCAUUAAUUUGGUGUUUUGGGGAAUUUGGACUGUUACUUUGAAAAAUUAGAGUGUUUAAAGCAAGCUAACGCUUGAAUACAUUAGCAUGGAAUAAUGAAAUAGGACGUUCGAUCCUAUUUUGUUGGUUUCUAGGAUUGACGUAAUGAUUAAUAGGGAUAGUUGGGGGCAUUAGUAUUCAAUUGUCAGAGGUGAAAUUCUUGGAUUUAUUGAAGACUAACUACUGCGAAAGCAUUUGCCAAGGAUGUUUUCAUUAAUCAAGAACGAAAGUUAGGGGAUCGAAGACGAUCAGAUACCGUCGUAGUCUUAACCAUAAACUAUGCCGACUAGGGAUCGAAUGAUGUUAAUUUUUAA
rnacentral:rRNA from 1 species